rnacentral:rRNA from 1 species
UGUGCUAAGGUAGCAUAAUCAUUUGGUUUUUAAUAGAGGUCUGGAAUGAAAGGUCAAACAAAUAUUAUUUUCUUUUUUAUAAUGAGUGAAUUUAAGAUUUAAGUAAAAACGCUUAAAAAAUUUGUGGGACGAUAAGACCCUAAAAGCUUUAUUUUCUAAUCUAAGAUAUUUUUAAUAGUUAGAACUGUAGAUAAUUGGUUGGGGUAAUAACUCUAAAUAAAUUAGGGUGGUUUGAAUAAGGAUAAUUAGAUUUAGAUCCUUAAUAUCAGGAUAAUAGGUGUAGUUACUUUAGGGGUAACAGGGUAAUUAUUUUACGGAGUUCUUAUCUGCAGAAUAGGUUGCUACCUCGAUGUUGAAUUAAAAUUUCUACAUAAUGCAAAAGGUAUGUAAGAGGGUUUGUUCAACCUUUAAUUUUUUACAUGAUCUGAG